rnacentral:rRNA from 1 species
AGCGAACGCUGGCGGCAUGCUUAACACAUGCAAGUCGCACGGGCACUUCGGUGUCAGUGGCGGACGGGUGAGUAACGCGUAGGUAUCUAUCCUUGGGUGGGGGACAACCGUGGGAAACUACGGCUAAUACCGCAUGAUGACUGAGGUCCAAAGCUUGGCAACGAGCGCCUGGGGCGGAGCCUGCGUACGAUUAGCUAGUUGGUGGGGUAAAGGCUUACCAAGGCGACGAUCGUUAGCUGGUCUGAGAGGAUGAUCAGCCACAUUGGGACUGAGACAC